rnacentral:rRNA from 1 species
UACAGAGGUCUCAAGCGUUGUUCGGAUUCAUUGGGCGUAAAGGGUGCGUAGGCGGCGCGGUAAGUCGGGUGUGAAAUCUCGGAGCUUAACUCCGAAACUGCAUUCGAUACUGCCGUGCUUGAGGACUGGAGAGGAGACUGGAAUUUACGGUGUAGCGGUGAAAUGCGUAGAUAUCGGGAGGAACACCAGUGGCGAAGGCGGCUUCCUGGCCUGCUCUUGACGCUGAGGCGCGAAAGCUAGGGUAGCAAACAGG